rnacentral:lncRNA from 1 species
AUUUAACUGGACAUCCUGAAUUGUAUGUGGCAACCCUACCCUUAAAGAAUUUUUGUUGGCCUCCUAGGCUCAGGUAUCAGCCCUUUCAAGGAGGGAGCACCCAGAGCACCUGUCAAGACAGUGCCCUUGGUGUAAGCUGCUUCACAUGAGGUUUUCUCACUUACAACCAACGGGGUCCUUGUUCAUUCUACAGAAGAAAAGAGACAUGAAGCAAGGAGAGAAGGGGAAGGAGGAGGAAGAAUGUACGAUCCAGUGAGAUCUGGCCAGCCCUCCUGCACCGGGCCAUUAAAUGCCAUCUCCAUAUGGUGGCUAUGCUGGAGCUGGUAUUCUCCAUUU